rnacentral:rRNA from 1 species
AGAGUUUGAUCCUGGCUCAGGACGAACGCUGGCGGCGUGCUUAACACAUGCAAGUCGAACGGUAAGGCCCCUUCGGGGGUACACGAGUGGCGAACGGGUGAGUAACACGUGAGCAACCUGCCCUUGACUCUGGAAUAACAGUUGGAAACAGCUGCUAAUACCGGAUACGACCUUCGAUGACAUCAUCUAGAGGUGGAAAGCGCUUUAGCGGUCAAGGAUGGGCUCGCGGCCUAUCAGCUUGUUGGUGAGGUAACGGCUCACCAAGGCUUCGACGGGUAGCCGGCCUGAGAGGGCGACCGGCCACACUGGGACUGAGAUACGGCCCAGACUCCUACGGGAGGCAGCAGUGGGAAUAUUGCACAAUGGGCGCAAGCCUGAUGCAGCAACGCCGCGUGCGGGAUGACGGCCUUCGGGUUGUAAACCGCUUUCAGUUCCGACGAAGCGAAAGUGACGGUAGGAACAGAAGAAGGACCGGCCAACUACGUGCCAGCAGCCGCGGUGAUACGUAGGGUCCGAGCGUUGUCCGGAAUUAUUGGGCGUAAAGGGCUUGUAGGCGGUUUGUUACGUCGGAAGUGAAAACUCAGGGCUCAACCCUGAGCCGGCUUCCGAUACGGGCAAACUAGAGGAAUGCAGGGGAGAAUGGAAUUCCUGGUGGAGCGGUGGAAUGCGCAGAUAUCAGGAGGAACACCGGUGGCGAAGGCGGUUCUCUGGGCAUUUCCUGACGCUGAGAAGCGAAAGCGUGGGGAGCAAACAGGCUUAGAUACCCUGGUAGUCCACGCCGUAAACGGUGGGCACUAGGUGUGGGGAACAUUCCACGUUCUCCGUGCCGAAGCUAACGGAUUAAGUGCCCCGCCUGGGGAGUACGGCCGCAAGGCUAAAACUUAAAGGAAUUGACGG